rnacentral:rRNA from 1 species
GAUGAACGCUGGCGGCGUGCCUAGUACAUGCAAGUCGAGCGAACAGACGAGGAGCUUGCUCCUUUGACGUUAGCGGCGGACGGGUGAGUAACACGUGGGUAACCUACCUAUAAGACUGGGAUAACUUCGGGAAACCGGAGCUAAUACCGGAUAAUAUUUCGAACCGCAUGGUUCGAUAGUGAAAGAUGGCUUUGCUAUCACUUAUAGAUGGACCUGCGCCGUAUUAGCUAGUUGGUAAGGUAACGGCUUACCAAGGCAACGAUACGUAGCCGACCUGAGAGGGUGAUCGGCCACACUGGAACUGAGACACGGUCCAGACUCCUACGGGAGGCAGCAGUAGGGAAUCUUCCGCAAUGGGCGAAAGCCUGACGGAGCAACGCCGCGUGAGUGAUGAAGGUCUUCGGAUCGUAAAACUCUGUUAUUAGGGAAGAACAAACGUGUAAGUAACUGUGCACGUCUUGACGGUACCUAAUCAGAAAGCCACGGCUAACUACGUG